CUCCAUUCCUGACCAAGGAGGGCCAAACCAACACACGCCCUCUGAGACAUGUGCUGCAGUCGCCCUGCACAAGGUGCCAUCGACGAGCCAGUGGAAGUCGUAAUUGCAGCAGGUAGAAGGGCCACACCAACACACCCCCCCUCUGAGACAUGUGCUGCAGUCGCCCUGCACAAGCUGCCACAGCGGAUCGUUCGGGUCCGUGUACCUGAUUUCCUCCCAUCUGUUAACAUCCGUCCUGUAGAGUUCUAACACGGAUGGCCUUUGCAGCGCGGCUUUAAUGGAAAACAUGAUGAGCCAUGAC